GUAGGUGGCAAGCGUUGUCCGGAAUUAUUGGGGCGCAAAGCGCGCGCAGGCGGUUUUUAAGUCUGAUGUGAAAGCCCACGGGCUCAACCGUGGAGGGUCAUUGGAAACUGGAGAACUUGAGUACAGAAGAGGAAAGCGGAAUUCCACGUGUAGCGGUGAAAUGCGUAGAGAUGUGGAGGAACACCAGUGGCGAAGGCGGCUUUCUGGUCUGUAACUGACGCUGAGGCGCGAAAGCGUGGGGAGCAAACAGGAUUAGAUACCCUGGUAGUCCACGCCGUAAACGAUGAGUGCUAAGUGUUAGGGGGUUUCCGCCCCUUAGUGCUGCAGCUAACGCAUUAAGCACUCCGCCUGGGGAGUACGGCCGCAAAGGCUG
rnacentral:rRNA from 1 species